rnacentral:tRNA from 1 species
GCGGGUGUAGUUUAGUGGUAAAACUACAGCCUUCCAAGCUGUUGUCGCGAGUUCGGUUCUCGUCACCCGCU